AGGAGUGUAGCUCAGUUGGUAGAGUGCUUAACUAGUUUACAGAGUCCUGGGUUCAAUCCCCAGCACCUUA
rnacentral:tRNA from 1 species